CCAUUGGAUCCGAGGCGCUGUUCGCCAUUCUGAUUAUUCCCUGCUUACUGUCUGUUUGUCCUUAUCAGUCUGUCCCAAUGAGGAAAGCAAAUAAACAAAGAUGAUGCUACGUCAUGUGAGGGGGUGAGGGAGAGAGAGAGAGAGAGAGAGAGAGAGAGAGAGAGAGAGAGAGAGAGAGAGAGAGAGAGAGAUGGGCACUGGAUGAGAGAAAGAAAUAAAAAAAAUGGUGUUGGCUGAAAAAGGUAUAACAGGGAAAGAGAAAGAAGGCACGAAAGUAAGGAUCAUCUUUUAUUUCAGUUAUUUAUUUAUUUUUCUCCCCUGCUCCCUCGUUGACCUUCUGUUUGGAGAGAGGAAGGCAGCAGCACAGCACUCCUCACUGGCAAAGACAGGAGAGAGGCGCCUGCUGCUGCUGCUGCUGCUGCUGCUGCUGCAUCCGGGAUUCACCUCACCUACACAGGACGGGAUCCUGGGUUGAUCACGGUCUUCCAAAAACUGUCAAGAUUUAAGCCUGGAUGGAGGCGGCACCGGCUCCCCGCUAAUUCAGUGAAAAUUCAACUGCAACUCCUGGGGACUUCCUGGCAGGACUGGGAGCUUGUAUCGGAGCUGUCCAAUCAGUGUAUUUACACGGGUUGUUAGCGACAGUUAAUGAGGGCUCCUCCCCGGGCCGGUAGAGAAAAGGCGCCUCAACAUUAAGAUUUACCUUGUGUCAACUCGUUACUUCUAAUGAACCUCCCUGAAAAAGCCUCCUUCGUAGUCAAUGGAGCCGCGCGCCCGGAUCUUGUGUGUGUGGGACUGGAAGAGUGGAGCUGCAAGCCGGGCUCCCUUCUCUCCCCCCACAUCCAUUUUUUUUUUUUUUUUUCUCAGAGGGGGUUUUUUUUUUUUUUUUUUUUUUUUUUAACCCCUCUUGCACACCCAGCCUUAUGAUGCAUGCAUGUUUUGUGAGGUGCAUGCCUGCUCUUUAUGUCACAACAGCACAUGGAUGAACAGUGCUAAACGUAGUUUGCAAGCGUUUGGCUGUAAGUUAGCUAAUUCCACUCUGGAGAUUUUUAGACUUACACGGAUAAGUCAAAUAGAAACUAUGACAGAGAAGCUGGAGGGAGUGUUUGCGUGCCUCUAUCGCAAACUCAGAGCAUCUGCCAUUGUUUGCUGAAUGAGGCUUGACAUGUCAACUUAUUGCCUCUGCAGAAAAGAAGUUCAUUUAUUCCCCUCCCCCCACCAACCCCAGGUUUUCUUUCCCCCUCCCCAAGAGCAGAUCAGCCUCUGGCCCCUGUGUCCAUCCCUCAUCUGGCCCCCAGUGUGGCUUGUUGAGCCGCAUCAGCAACACAUCACUGCCCAUGAAUUCAGGUACAAACUGGAGGAGUUUGGCAGAUCACUAAAAGUGGAUUUCCCUCCCACUCUUUCCAAACCACAGAAACACUUAAAAAUCAAUUAGCCUUGUCUGGCCCUCUGCCUGCACCAGUCACCAUUAGGACAAAACAAAACAAAAACAAAAACAGGUGAGUUCCACAGGACCAGACUAUGUAUAUUUAGGAUUUAUUGCCAGCUUUAAUUACAGUGGAAACAAACAUUUAGCAUUUUAUCAAUGAAACUGGUGCAACGAUUUAAGUGUGUUUUAUUUGGGAUAUAUUUGAAGCAAUUUCUUCUCAGUUCUCCUCUCCACUUUGUGGUCAAGGUAUAAACCUCUAAACUUCUUAAAUAUGUUAUAACAUGUCACUUGCAAGCUGCUUCCCUGGCAACCACAACAAAGAAAUGAUGAUCCACGUGCCUCUGGGAAUAAAACGUCCGCUUGCUAGUAAGUUUGACUUUAGCAUUGGCAUUGUCACUUAUGCAUCUUUAAAAAAAUUAAAAAACAAAAAAAAAAUAUCUUCAAAUAAUAAGCCAAAAAAUGCUUAUGAGUUAAUUUCAUAUAUUUUAAAUAUACUGUAACUACAUGGCAUCAUAUCAGAGUCUCACCACUGUUCAACACAGAAGUCUGUUGGCUCGUCACCAAGUUCAAUUUUUAGCAUUACUGCUGUCGCUAAGCUAGUCAAAGAUAACAUUAUCUAGAGCUAUUAUCAGAAAUACUUCCCUGACCUGUAGCAGUGUCUUCUUGGAAAAUGGUUUGAAUGCUUGAAGGUGGUGAACACUAACAAGCUAGUAGUACGCUAUAUGUGAAUCCACCUCCUCAGUUCCCCUUUCGGGAUAACUUUCAAACAACCAUGAACCCCGAAAACUUUGUUUUACACAAUAUUUGAUGGUACUGCACAGGUGACUCAAAGUCCAAAUGUUUACUCCGUUCUUCACAAACCUAGAUUUCAUUACCAGUUAACAGCUUAUCUACUGUUUUAACUUUACAUAAAAACAAGAACUUUCUUUGGCUUUACGACACAGUUUCUUAUGUAGUAACGGUUUGUUGGGAAAUUAUACAGCUGUUUUCUGCUAAUACGGCAUUGCUUCCUAUUGAUAAGAGUAUUUUCAUUUCGAGUUGUUCUAAGCUGAUAGACAUCUAAAGCUGGCUACCUGUUAGCCGUCCACCAAUACUGUCACAUACAGUAAGGUAACUUUUUAAAGCUAUUUACAAACUUAAUGUAUUGCUCCAACACAGAGACUUUGACCAAUGCAAGCCUAAUAGCAUCUUUUAACUUUUACUGAUGUAAUAUUUUCAACUUAUAAACAAAUCCACCUUGACAUUAUCAGGACACACAAAGGACAAGAAUAAACAAGGGUUGACUGAACCAAUACCUUUAGCUAAAUUGUGAUGCAAAUAUGUAUUGUGUCCAAAGUUAUUAGAAUUUAUCCACCAUGGUACUACAAUUACAAACCAAAAUGGCUGCUUCACAUUGAAAUCAUUAUCAUGGAUAAUAUUUAAUUUACUAGGAAAUUCGUUUUUUUAGUGUAACGAGUCCCAAUCCCGUCGCUGGCGACAUAUUUUGACCACUCUGAAUAUGAGAUGUUAUGAAGAAACGUUUUCCUUUCGCCUGUUCAAACUGAGCCCUUCAGAGUGAAGAGGUGUUACUCAACAUAUUUGCGCACCAUAAUGAGAUUUACCUUUUCACAAGCAAAUACAUCCACCAGCAAUCAGCAGGUGACAAACUGCUAUAAAAUACUUGCAGAUCUCGGUACUCGAUGUGUUUGCAAAGUCCCGCAACCUCUCCCGGGCUGUUAAUAAGUUUUAUUUUAUUUCUAUAUAUAGAAUACAUUUUUUUUGUGUGUUUUUUUUUUUUUUUUAGCAGCCGCCUGGUGCAGCAAUGUGACAGAGAGGGGCAGCGCCGGAGGAGGCCGGGUGUUCACUCUUCCAGGUCGAUUCAUGAAUAGGGAGAAAUAAAUAUAACGGGCGCAUAUCAGAUGCGUUGCCCCAAGCUUUACACAUGAUGCUCACCUUAACGUUCCCCAAUGACCGUCUCACAGGUUUAAAAAAAAAUUGUCGCUUUUUCAGCGCAGUCAGUCCAUUUCUCCUUCCAGUCCCUAAAUAAAGCUUGUGCAUAAGUCAUUAAGCUACUUGUGUGGAGGAAAAAGAUGCUCUCAGGCAUGAAUGAGGCCAACACAAUGACCAGCCAGGGUCUUCCCAAAAAAAAAAAAAAAAAAAAAGAAAAAAAAAAGAAAAAGAAAACCAUAUUCUGUUUUGGAUUCGUCUGUCCUGGCUGAUUAACCGGCCGGGGCUCCAACAUCUCAGAUGGGAGCUGUGGAGAUGGCCCUUUAGCCCGGUGUCACAGGAGCUGACAAGAUGCAAUUACUGCGGCUGACACGUCCAACCCCAAAGCUCACUAAUGUGAGAGAUGUGGAAACCGCAGACAGUUUCUCGCACACUAUGCAGCGAGAGGCAACUCUGCGGCCAAGGAGUCCCAUUUUAAACGCGGCUCUGCGUGACACCUUUCACCAGUAAAAUAGCCGCUUAUUUAGCAGGCGACGAUACGGAGCGGAGCAUCAUGAGGCUGUAUGCAAACGCAGGACAACAGAGAGCUAGUCUACUCGGUUUUGAAAGGACAUACACUAUAAAAACGGAAUUUUGAAGGAGAUUAACUAUUAUUCAGAAAAUUAUUUGUAUUUAUUUAUUUUUUAAUCACGUGGUUAGAAUACAGUUUGAGUAAUUGAUUCAGUCUGUAAACUGAUAUUCAUAUAUGACUUAGCAAAAAAUGAGAACUACAUUGACACAUUUGACUGAGGAAGUCAAAUGCAUUAGCAUUAGCACUCAUCAGUGCUAAUGCUAGUUUAAGCAGUAAGGGGAGCUUAAACAUGAGGAAAUGAUUGCCAAUGAACAGUGACCUCUAGAACACAACGUGUUUGCAUGUCAAAAAAAAAGAACUGUUAUUAUUACUUAUUGAUUCUUGACAGAUGAUACAACAGCCAUGGUAGGCGAUCUUAAUAAUUAUGGGGGAAACUCUUUUAAAAGAAAGCGGUGAAAUUUUAAACAAUGCGUUUGGGUUGUUUCAGCUGUGAAACACACAAACUUAUCCUUAAAAAUGGGAAUGAAUUAUAACAAAAUAAAGUUUAUAUAAAUGGAAUGAAAUUUUUAUCUGUCAAAUU